rnacentral:rRNA from 1 species
GACGAACGCUGGCGGCGUGCUUAACACAUGCAAGUCGAACGGAAAGGCCCUUCGGGGUACUCGAGUGGCGAACGGGUGAGUAACACGUGGGUGAUCUGCCCUGCACUUUGGGAUAAGCCUGGGAAACUGGGUCUAAUACCGAAUAGGACCGCAUGCUUCAUGGUGUGUGGUGGAAAGCUUUUGCGGUGUGGGAUGGGCCCGCGGCCUAUCAGCUUGUUGGUGGGGUAAUGGCCUACCAAGGCGACGACGGGUAGCCGGCCUGAGAGGGUGACCGGCCACACUGGGACUGAAAUACGGCCCAGACUCCUACGGGAGGCAGCAGGGGGGAAUAUUGCACAAUGGGCGCAAGCCUGAUGCAGCGACGCCGCGUGAGGGAUGACGGCCUUCGGGUUGUAAACCUCUUUCAGCAGGGACGAAGCGCAAGUGACGGUACCUGCAGAAGAAGGACCGGCCAACUACGUGCCAGCAGCCGCAGUAA